rnacentral:rRNA from 1 species
GGUUAAGCGACUAAGCGUACACGGUGGAUGCCCUGGCAGUCAGAGGCGAUGAAGGACGUGCUAAUCUGCGAUAAGCGUCGGUGAGGUGAUAUGAACCGUUAUAACCGGCGAUUUCCGAAUGGGGAAACCCAGUGUGAUUCGUCACACUAUCAUUAACUGAAUCCAUAGGUUAAUGAGGCGAACCGGGGGAACUGAAACAUCUAAGUACCCCGAGGAAAAGAAAUCAACCGAGAUUCCCCCAGUAGCGGCGAGCGAACGGGGAGGAGCCCAGAGCCUGAAUCAGUGUGUGUGUUAGUGGAAGCGUCUGGAAAGGCGUGCGAUACAGGGUGACAGCCCCGUACACAAAAAUGCACAUAUUGUGAGCUCGAUGAGUAGGGCGGGACACGUGGUAUCCUGUCUGAAUAUGGGGGGACCAUCCUCCAAGGCUAAAUACUCCUGACUGACCGAUAGUGAACCAGUACCGUGAGGGAAAGGCGAAAAGAACCCCGGCGAGGGGAGUGAAAAAGAACCUGAAACCGUGUACGUACAAGCAGUGGGAGCCUCUUAAUGGGGUGACUGCGUACCUUUUGUAUAAUGGGUCAGCGACUUAUAUUCUGUAGCAAGGUUAACCGAAUAGGGGAGCCGAAGGGAAACCGAGUCUUAACUGGGCGUUAAGUUGCAGGGUAUAGACCCGAAACCCGGUGAUCUAGCCAUGGGCAGGUUGAAGGUUGGGUAACACUAACUGGAGGACCGAACCGACUAAUGUUGAAAAAUUAGCGGAUGACUUGUGGCUGGGGGUGAAAGGCCAAUCAAACCGGGAGAUAGCUGGUUCUCCCCGAAAGCUAUUUAGGUAGCGCCUCGUGAAUUCAUCUCCGGGGGUAGAGCACUGUUUCGGCAAGGGGGUCAUCCCGACUUACCAACCCGAUGCAAACUGCGAAUACCGGAGAAUGUUAUCACGGGAGACACACGGCGGGUGCUAACGUCCGUCGUGAAGAGGGAAACAACCCAGACCGCCAGCUAAGGUCCCAAAGUCAUGGUUAAGUGGGAAACGAUGUGGGAAGGCCCAGACAGCCAGGAUGUUGGCUUAGAAGCAGCCAUCAUUUAAAGAAAGCGUAAUAGCUCACUGGUCGAGUCGGCCUGCGCGGAAGAUGUAACGGGGCUAAACCAUGCACCGAAGCUGCGGCAGCGACACUAUGUGUUGUUGGGUAGGGGAGCGUUCUGUAAGCCUGUGAAGGUGGCCUGUGAGGGUUGCUGGAGGUAUCAGAAGUGCGAAUGCUGACAUAAGUAACGAUAAAGCGGGUGAAAAGCCCGCUCGCCGGAAGACCAAGGGUUCCUGUCCAACGUUAAUCGGGGCAGGGUGAGUCGACCCCUAAGGCGAGGCCGAAAGGCGUAGUCGAUGGGAAACAGGUUAAUAUUCCUGUACUUGGUGUUACUGCGAAGGGGGGACGGAGAAGGCUAUGUUGGCCGGGCGACGGUUGUCCCGGUUUAAGCGUGUAGGCUGGUUUUCCAGGCAAAUCCGGAAAAUCAAGGCUGAGGCGUGAUGACGAGGCACUACGGUGCUGAAGCGACAAAUGCCCUGCUUCCAGGAAAAGCCUCUAAGCAUCAGGUAACAUCAAAUCGUACCCCAAACCGACACAGGUGGUCAGGUAGAGAAUACCAAGGCGCUUGAGAGAACUCGGGUGAAGGAACUAGGCAAAAUGGUGCCGUAACUUCGGGAGAAGGCACGCUGAUAUGUAGGUGAAGCGACUUGCUCGUGGAGCUGAAAUCAGUCGAAGAUACCAGCUGGCUGCAACUGUUUAUUAAAAACACAGCACUGUGCAAACACGAAAGUGGACGUAUACGGUGUGACGCCUGCCCGGUGCCGGAAGGUUAAUUGAUGGGGUUAGCGGUAACGCGAAGCUCUUGAUCGAAGCCCCGGUAAACGGCGGCCGUAACUAUAACGGUCCUAAGGUAGCGAAAUUCCUUGUCGGGUAAGUUCCGACCUGCACGAAUGGCGUAAUGAUGGCCAGGCUGUCUCCACCCGAGACUCAGUGAAAUUGAACUCGCUGUGAAGAUGCAGUGUACCCGCGGCAAGACGGAAAGACCCCGUGAACCUUUACUAUAGCUUGACACUGAACAUUGAGCCUUGAUGUGUAGGAUAGGUGGGAGGCUUUGAAGUGUGGACGCCAGUCUGCAUGGAGCCGACCUUGAAAUACCACCCUUUAAUGUUUGAUGUUCUAACGUGGGCCCCUUACCGGGGUUGCGGACAGUGUCUGGUGGGUAGUUUGACUGGGGCGGUCUCCUCCUAAAGAGUAACGGAGGAGCACGAAGGUUGGCUAAUCCUGGUCGGACAUCAGGAGGUUAGUGCAAUGGCAUAAGCCAGCUUGACUGCGAGCGUGACGGCGCGAGCAGGUGCGAAAGCAGGUCAUAGUGAUCCGGUGGUUCUGAAUGGAAGGGCCAUCGCUCAACGGAUAAAAGGUACUCCGGGGAUAACAGGCUGAUACCGCCCAAGAGUUCAUAUCGACGGCGGUGUUUGGCACCUCGAUGUCGGCUCAUCACAUCCUGGGGCUGAAGUAGGUCCCAAGGGUAUGGCUGUUCGCCAUUUAAAGUGGUACGCGAGCUGGGUUUAGAACGUCGUGAGACAGUUCGGUCCCUAUCUGCCGUGGGCGCUGGAGAACUGAGGGGGGCUGCUCCUAGUACGAGAGGACCGGAGUGGACGCAUCACUGGUGUUCGGGUUGUCAUGCCAAUGGCACUGCCCGGUAGCUAAAUGCGGAAGAGAUAAGUGCUGAAAGCAUCUAAGCACGAAACUUGCCCCGAGAUGAGUUCUCCCUGACUCCUUGAGAGUCCUGAAGGAACGUUGAAGACGACGACGUUGAUAGGCCGGGUGUGUAAGCGCAGCGAUGCGUUGAGCUAACCGGUACUAAUGAACCGUGAGGCUUAACCUU